rnacentral:rRNA from 1 species
UACGUAGGGGGCAAGCGUUGUCCGGAAUCAUUGGGCGUAAAGCGCGUGUAGGCGGGUCGGUAAGUCCGCUCUGAAAGCCCGGGGCUCAACCCCGGGAGGCGGGUGGAUACUGUCGACCUCGAGUCCGGAAGAGUCGAGUGGAAUUCCUGGUGUAGCGGUGAAAUGCGCAGAUAUCAGGAGGAACACCAAUGGCGAAGGCAGCUCGCUGGGACGGUACUGACGCUGAGACGCGAAAGCGUGGGGAGCAAACAGG